rnacentral:rRNA from 1 species
UCGGGUCGUAAAACUCUGUCCUCAAGGAAGAUAAUGACGGUACUUGAGGAGGAAGCCCCGGCUAACUACGUGCCAGCAGCCGCGGUAAUACGUAGGGGGCUAGCGUUAGCCGGAUUUACUGGGCGUAAAGGGUGCGUAGGCGGUCUUUCAAGUCAGGAGUGAAAGGCUACGGCUCAACCGUAGUAAGCUCUUGAAACUGGGAGACUUGAGUGCAGGAGAGGAGAGUGGAAUUCCUA